UUGUCAAAACGAAAAUAAAUAAUAAGUGAUAAUUUUUGUUGAAAAAAUGCGCUUAAGAUGUGUGUUUUAAUUCAAGUAUAUUGCAAUUUAUCGUGUGAAUUUAAAUUUUAUCUCAUAAAUCGUCGCUUAGUUUUUGAUUGAUUUAAUAGAAUGCCAUUUUUAAAAUGCAUCCGAAUUUCUACUAAUAAGGAACAAUCGGAAAAAAGCAAAAAAGAAGGAUUGCGAUGUUCCAUAUUUCUUCCACAAAGGAAAGGAAUUUUGAAAGCACAUUAUAAAGGUGAAUGGAAAGAUAAUAAGAAACACGGCAAGGGUACAGACAUAGACAGGAGAUGGAAAUCGGUACGAGGGUUCUUUCAUCGAUGGAAAAAGAAACGGUUUAGGUACAUUUUAUCAUUUAGAUAGUGGACAAUGUCAAUAUGGUUAUUGGUGCAACGAUUUUUGUAUUAAUAGCAUAAUGCAAGAUAUUAAUUGGCGGCAAUCGGCAUUGCAUCCAACAGCAUAUCCCAUACCGGAAACUAAUAUUUCGACCAUUUGUUAUUAAUUCUUCUUAUUUUCCUUUAUUACUGUAAAUCCCAAUCAUCAUUUUGCG
rnacentral:misc_RNA from 1 species